rnacentral:rRNA from 1 species
GAAGCCGGAAUUGCUAGUAAUGGCAGGUCAGCAUACUGCCGUGAAUACGUUCCCGGGCCUUGUACACACCGCCCGUCACACCAUGAGAGUUGGGAAUACCCGAAGCCUGUGAGCUAACGUUAAGAGGCAGCAGUCGAAGGUAGAAUCAAUGAUUCGGGGUGAAGUCGUAACAAGGUAAC